UUGGUGUGCACAUCGCCAGCUCUAUUGAGCUAGGUAUUUCUAUUCGGUUAACCAGACCUGCUGGCCUCUGGUAGCAGGGGACCUGCGGGCCUCUGAGAAGGUAGCAGGGAAAAACAGGUUAACCAGACCUGCUGGCCUCCGAGAAGGUAGCAGGGGGCCUGCUGGCCUCCGGGAAGGUAGCAGGG